rnacentral:rRNA from 1 species
UACGUAGGGUGCGAGCGUUAAUCGGAAUUACUGGGCGUAAAGCGUGCGCAGGCGGUUCGUUAUGUCCGAUGUGAAAGCCCCGAGCUCAACUUGGGAAUGGCAUUGGAAACUGGCGGGCUGGAGUGUGGCAGAGGGGGGUGGAAUUCCACGUGUAGCAGUGAAAUGCGUAGAGAUGUGGAGGAACACCGAUGGCGAAGGCAGCCCCCUGGGUCAAGAUUGACGCUCAUGCACGAAAGCGUGGGGAGCAAACAGG